AUGUCUACAAGUGUGUUGGAGGUUGCUCCUGGUGGUUAGAACUGAAGCCUGCUGCGCUUUGUGUCUAGUCCAAAGACUGAGAUACUGGCUCUGAUAAGGAAGCAUGUGACUUUAAAAAAAGAAAAAAAAGAAAAGAAAAAGUCUUUACUCAAGCACCAAAGCAUACAAAUCAAGUUAAGCCAGGCAGCACAGCCAAAAAGAGGAUUUGAUCCCAGCCUCAUCUCCUCUCCCCUCAUUAGCAAAAGGUUAGCUCUAGGGCAAAAGGCAAGGGUACUAGAAUAUACUGUGGCCCUUUGCUUGACAUGAAAUGACGAGACAAGGAGGGUCGCUAUGCAUAGUCAUCAUCUGAAAGAGUUCGGAAAAACACUGUAAUUCUUGCUUCUUUCAACCACGGAUCCCAAAUGAGUCACGGCACGUCAUGCUCUUCUAAGCCGGGUUUGAGCUGGGAGAAACUUUUCGUUUUGAAAUCACGAAUCACAUCCUCGGAAGACAAAACAUCUCAAAGGUGAGCGGUGUGCUUUUAAAAACAGGAAUCUUCAGAAACAGUGCAUCUAAAGUAGAUCUGCCCCCUCUGACAGUGAUUGGAGAGAGAAAGAGAGAGAGAAAGCGAUGCUUCCAAGCACACAACAGUGAUGAGGAAGUCAAGAGAGACCUACACAGACCCACACACAGACACACAACACACACGUACACAAACAAAGGAAGUGUGAGGCAGACAGCGGCCCAAAUGCCUUGCCGACACCCUCUCCGGGCUUUGAUGGACUGACCACGAUCACAAUGGGGGCUGACACACACACACAUAGGCACACACAAAAACAAUGGACGACUUUUUCUGGCAUGUAUAUUUUUUAAAUUAUAUUUCUAAAACAAGCCCUUUUUGUCGAAUCAUCCUUUUAUAAAGUGACUUACUUGGUGACCGCAGCAGUAAGGGUAUAUUACAAUAUGGUGCAAGUAGGAAAAAGAAAGCCAUAGUCACAAAAACAGGCUAUGCAGGAAGGCAUUUGCAUUUGCUGGAUAAUGUGCUUUUAAAGUGAUGUUGUCGUGAGAAUGUGCUUGUCUGCACGUUUACAAGACAUAAACAUGGAGUUUAAAGAAGACAUUCCAAACCUUCUUGCUAAAUGUUUGAUCCUAAUGUCUAACAGAAUCUGUUCUAUUAUGCUCACCUGAAAUUUGUUGUUAUUUCAGAACAAAUUUUCCUUUAAGAAAUAAUGUAAAAUGUAUGAUAAUGUACAA